rnacentral:rRNA from 1 species
AGUGAACGCUGGCGGUAGGCCUAACACAUGCAAGUCGAACGGCAGCACAGUAAGAGCUUGCUCUUACGGGUGGCGAGUGGCGGACGGGUGAGGAAUACAUCGGAAUCUACUUUUUCGUGGGGGAUAACGUAGGGAAACUUACGCUAAUACCGCAUACGACCUACGGGUGAAAGCAGGGGAUCUUCGGACCUUGCGCGAUUGAAUGAGCCGAUGUCGGAUUAGCUAGUUGGCGGGGUAAAGGCCCACCAAGGCGACGAUCCGUAGCUGGUCUGAGAGGAUGAUCAGCCACACUGGAACUGGGACACGGUCCAGACUCCUAGGGGAGGCAGCGGUGGGGAAUAUUGGACAAGGGGCGCAAGCCUGAUCCAGCCAUACCGCGUGGGUGAAGAAGGCCUUCGGGUGGUAAAGCCCUUUUGUUGGGAAAGAAAAGCAGCAGGUUAAUACCCCGCUGUUCUGACGGUACCCAAAGAAUAAGCACCGGCUAACUUCGU